GACGAACGCUGGCGGCGUGCUUAACACAUGCAAGUGCACGGAAAGGCCCUGCUUUUGUGGGGUGCUCGAGUGGCGAACGGGUGAGUAACACGUGAGUAACCUGCCCUUGACUUUGGGAUAACUUCAGGAAACUGGGGCUAAUACCGGAUAGGAGCUCCUGCUGCAUGGUGGGGGUUGGAAAGUUUCGGCGGUUGGGAUGGACUCGCGGCUUAUCAGCUUGUUGGUGGGGUAGUGGCUUACCAAGGCUUUGACGGGUAGCCGGCCUGAGAGGGUGACCGGCCACAUUGGGACUGAGAUACGGCCCAGACUCCUACGGGAGGCAGCAGUGGGGAAUAUUGCACAAUGGGCGGAAGCCUGAUGCAGCAACGCCGCGUGCGGGAUGACGGCCUUCGGGUUGUAAACCGCUUUCGCCUGUGACGAAGCGUGAGUGACGGUAAUGGGUAAAGAAGCACCGGCUAACUACGUG
rnacentral:rRNA from 1 species